AUGUUAUAGUUCUCAACACGUAGAAUGAAAGUGUUCAUGGCCGAGAUUCGAUCACGGGUACUUUUUGAGAUACAGCACUGCAAAGUUAAACUUUUCCUACCUUAUUGCAGCGCAAAGUUGAACUUUGCAGUGCUGUAUUUCGAAAAGUACCCGUGAUCGAAUCUCGGCUAUGAACAUUCUAUUCUACGUGUUGAGAACUACAACAU
rnacentral:pre_miRNA from 1 species